AGAUCUCCCCUCGUGACCCGCAUUGUUCCGGUAUUGCAUAACAAUGGAAAAGCACUCGCGCGAUUGACCGACCCCUCUGAUUCCGAUAUCGGGGAUGAUGGGAAAAAAAGGGAUGUCACGUGCCUUCCCCAAUUUACUUCCUGGUUCCUACUUCCUAUUGGACGAUCAUUACCCUUCUGUGAUUAUUUGGUAUGUAUAUAGUGGCGGGAAAAAUCCACACGCACUUAGUGCUAGUCGAGCUGUGCCCUUGUGAAAAUGGAAUUUUGCGUUGAUAGUCACGACCGAGAUUGUGCGAAUAAUUUUCUAGAUGAAGAGUGUUUGGAUGCUGUGAAGAUGUUAGUGGAAGUGGAAAUUCCUCUUGUUUUCGGAUAUUCAUGGAGAUGAUGAUGUUUUAGUUUCUAUAUUGAUUUGUUUUUUAUAGUGUGCUUGGUUCCAAAUAUUCCAAAGGAUUAUUCUUAAUUAUGAAGGAUUUUUAUGACAUAAAUCGACAUCUAUUGGUGUUUUAUGUGUAUAUUGCAAUUGACACGGAAAAACUCGGAGGAUAAACAUCACCAAGCCCGUAAGCAAACACGAGAUUGUUUGUUUUUCCACCCUAAAAGUCGAGGGUUACGGACCUGAGUGGAUGCAGAAACCACGUACUGGCCGAUCUCUUAUCAGCAUUCAUCUGAUCUUGAAGAGAUCGAUAGAAAAGUUUCAGGCUAUCGAAAAAGAAGUUGAGGUACCGUCCGACCGCCAAAAACAAUGGAAGAACGAAGAAGCGAGGAGGAACAAUUUCGAACACGUGGGCCAGUAAAUCAAACCAUUUAAAGCAAUCGUGCCUCGGAGCAGGUCCAGAUUAAAAUCACCAACCUGUUUUUCGACUUCCACCAUCAUCAUAUACUGGCCGUCAGAUAGAAUGAAGAGAGAGAAUGGGACCUUCUCUCCUCUUGAUGGAUCGUCAACGUCCAGAGUUGUUACUUUACGACUUGUAAUUAAACGGAGAUUGAUGCUUGUCGAAAUUUAUUUUUACCCAGCCCUUUCCUUUCAGUUCAUCUCGAAUAUC